UGGCUUGCCCUGCUGUUCUCUGG
rnacentral:piRNA from 1 species